AACGAACGCUGGCGGCAUGCCUAACACAUGCAAGUCGAACGAGACCUUCGGGUCUAGUGGCGCACGGGUGCGUAACGCGUGGGAACCUGCCCUUAGGUUCGGAAUAACUCCCCGAAAGGGGUGCUAAUACCGGAUAAUGUCUUCGGACCAAAGAUUUAUCGCCUUUGGAUGGGCCCGCGUUGGAUUAGCUAGUUGGUAGGGUAAAAGCCUACCAAGGCGACGAUCCAUAGCUGGUCUGAGAGGAUGAUCCGCCACACUGGGACUGAGACACGGCCCAGACUCCUACGGGAGGCAGCAGUGGGGAAUAUUGGACAAUGGGCGAAAGUCUGAUCCAGCAAUGCCGCGUGAGUGAUGAAGGCCUUAGGGUUGUAAAGCUCUUUUAGCCGGGAUGAUAAUGACAGUACCGGGAGAAUAAGCUCCGGCUAACUCCGUG
rnacentral:rRNA from 1 species